rnacentral:tRNA from 1 species
UGAGUUGUGGCUCAGUGGUAGAGCACUCACCUAGCACAUGAGAGGCCCUGGGUUUGAUCCUCAGCGCCAUAU